rnacentral:rRNA from 1 species
UACGUAGGGGGCAAGCGUUGUCCGGAUUUAUUGGGCGUAAAGAGCGUGUAGGCGGCCUGACAGGUCUGCUGUGAAAACUCGAGGCUCAACCUCGAGAUGUCGGCGGAAACCGUCUGGCUAGAGUCCGGAAGAGGAGAGUGGAAUUCCUGGUGUAGCGGUGGAAUGCGCAGAUAUCAGGAGGAACACCGAUGGCGAAGGCAGAUCUCUGGGCCGUAACUGACGCUGAGGAGCGAAAGCGUGGGGAGCAAACAGG